AAAUAAGAAAUAAAAACUUUAUAUUUAGUUUCGACCUAAAAAUUUGGUAUCAAAUACCCUUAUUUA
rnacentral:tRNA from 1 species